rnacentral:lncRNA from 1 species
UUCCUAUUCCUAGUGUUAACGAUGUGAGCUUCAGCCUAUGUUCGAUUAACUGGUAGAAGAUUAACUUGCUUCAAUGGCUGUAAUGUAACAGCCUAUUUUUUAGUCAAAUCAGAACAGUGGUUUUGGGACCACAAAUUCGAGGUCAAAAUAUUUACUUUAUUAAUUUAUUAAUUUUACAGCAUGAUAGUAUGUAUUUGUGAAAU